rnacentral:rRNA from 1 species
CCCUCACGGGCGCAACCCCAGAUACCCUUUGUGAACUUAUACCUUUUAAUCGUUGCCUCGGCGCCGAGCCCGGGGAGGAAAACGAAGGAAGUUUCUUCUUUCUUUCGUAUUUUCCCCCUCCCCUCACCGUGCAGACGGUGCUGGAGCAGGCCCGCCGGCGGCCCACCAAACUCUCUGUUUUUAGAACGUACCUCUUCUGAGAGACUUAUAAACAAAAAAUGAAUCAAAACUUUCAACAACGGAUCUCUUGGUUCUGGCAUCGAUGAAGAACGCAGCGAAAUGCGAUAAGUAAUGUGAAUUGCAGAAUUCAGUGAAUCAUCGAAUCUUUGAACGCACAUUGCGCCCGCUGGAAUUCCAGCGGGCAUGCCUGUUCGAGCGUCAUUUCAACCCUCAAGCCUGGCUUGGUGUUGGGGCGCUACCCGUCAAACGGUAGGCCCUCAAAUUCAGUGGCGGGCUCGCUAAGAUUCUGAGCGUAGUAGUUUUAAAUCACCUCGCUCCGGAAGGAUUAGCGGUGCGCUUGCCGUAAAACCCCCCCUUCUCACUGAAAUUUUGACCUCGGAUCAGGUAGGAAUACCCGCUGAACUUAAGCAUAUCAA